GGCAGUGUGUCCGAGUGGUUUAAGGAAAUAGUCUUGAAAACUAUCGAUGGUAAAACAUCCGUGGGUUCGAAACCCACCACUGUCG
rnacentral:tRNA from 1 species